GACGAACGCUGGCGGCGUGCUUAACACAUGCAAGUCGAACGGAAAGGCCCUGCUUUUGUGGGGUGCUCGAGUGGCGAACGGGUGAGUAACACGUGAGUAACCUGCCCUUGACUUUGGGAUAACUUCAGGAAACUGGGGCUAAUACCGUAUAGGAGCUCCUGCUGCAUGGUGGGGGUUGGAAAGUUUCGGCGGUUGGGGAUGGACUCGCGGCUUAUCAGCUUGUUGGUGGGGUAGUGGCUUACCAAGGCUUUGACGGGUAGCCGGCAUGAGAGGGUGACCGGGCACCUUGGGACUGAGAUACGGACCAGACUCCUACGGGAGGCAGCAGUGGGGAAUAUUGCACAGUGGGCGGAAGCCUGAUGAAGAGACGCCGCGUGCGGGAUGACGGCCUUCGGGUUGUAAACCGCUUUAGCCUGUGACGAAGCGUGAGUGACGGUAAUGGGUAAAGAAGCACCGGCUAACUACGUG
rnacentral:rRNA from 1 species